rnacentral:lncRNA from 1 species
ACCGUUGCUCAGAGUCCAGGCCGGUUAGGACCAGAGCCUUCCCCGGGUGGCAUGGUGAUGAUCCAGAUUCAGGAGACAUGUCUGAGAAAGGAUCGUUCAGACUUUUUGACCUAUUUUACAUGAGGAAUAAAGGAUAGAGAAUCUUCUUCCCUUCUGGUCUGACUAGGAAAGCCGGAGGGAGAUGGUGAAGGAGACAGAGAGAGAGUAAAAGAACAGACCAUGCCCAGCCUCUCCACUGCAGGAGCUUGGAAUCAGGACUGUGAGCUUCAUGGAGACAAGAAACUGCUUUUUUUCUCCUUCCUGUGAAUGAAUCCCAUUGCAGCUUUGAUUGUGGUUGAAUCACCUAUGGAAGCCAUGCAUCUUCAGCAUGUAGCACAUAAUGGACACUCAGCAAAUGACAACUGAAUGAGCAAACUAAUUACUCUUACCUUGAGCAGUGACUUGUGUGACCUCUGGCAAUUGGUUCACCGUCUGAAUCCCUCAGCUAGAUACCUCCCUCUAAUGCUGCUCCUCCAUCGACAGGCAUUCCGCAGCGGUCAGUUGUUUCCCAGCCAGAGCCCGCACUGGCACUGAUGUCUGCUAUUAUCACUGGAGAGGCCCCGGGACUUCACUUGAUGCUAUCCCACUGGGAUGACUGAGAAGUAGGAGAAAAUCAAGCAAAAGCCUGGGCUCGUCUAAGUGUUUCCUUAUCUGUUUCUUGGUAUCUUCCUUGCUUCCCUGCUUCUCCCGGCCCCAGACUUCCUUGUCUUCUCUCUUCCAUCCAGAAAGACACACAUGCCCCUUCUAAGUAUCACUUUAGGGCUGAAGUCCAAAGUCUUCUCUUAGCUGAAAUUCACUGUGCACUUGCCACUUGGCAGAGACUGCAAACAGCUCAGUGCGUGUUUUCAUAGUCAGCAUUAAAAUAAUAAUUGCCACAACACUAUUAAAGUUUUCCUCAUUGUUGUAACUGUUGGCAAAGGCAAAUGUCUGGGGGGGAGAUUGACUCCCUGGAAAGCUUCAUUAUGCUGCGAGAAUAUUUUUGAUAAAAUUUCAGCAGCUCCUGACUGUCAACUUCACCAUGUGGUUUUUUUAAAGUUGUCCCCACCCCUCUCUAACAGGUCCUCCAAUUCACAAAAACAUUCAGGUCAGUUGUUGAGUAACUGAAUCUUUCCAAGUAAUUAACAGGUAGAAUUACCAGGUAGCAGGCAGUGUUUGCUUGUAAUCCUUCAAUAGUAGUUGCAGUGGGGCUAAUUGUCAUCUUGAGUGGCCCUGCAACCACAUCUAAUUAAAAGUGUCAACAGAGAGUUAUUUCUGUCUUUUGUUCCCACUGCUAGGUUGUACGUGUUUACUUCAGAAAUCCAGGCUCAAAGUAAGACAGAUAUUUGGAACAUGUGAAUAUACAGGAAAAACAUUCCCCAGCAACUCAGAAAGUACGUAAAAGCAUUUAGGCCUCAUUCCUCUGUCCACCUGACUUUUUCGGUUUGUAUUAGUUUAUAUAUUCAAGGCAGAUAUACAGUAUCUGAUAAAUGCAAGAGGGACAUGAUGCCUUUUCCUAAGCAGCAAAGUUAUACUUUGCCAACUUGACUGGGAGCUGGGCUGAAGGGACAAAGGCAGGAGUCUGUUAAGACUCACUAACACUUACCUAGUAAUGGCAGUGGCUGCCACUACAGCUAGGUUUCUUGCCUUUGAUUCAUAUUCUUUCUUUCUUUCUUUCUUUCUUUCUUUCUUUCUUUCUUUCUUUCUUUCUUUCUUUCUUUCUUCCUUUCUUCCUUUCUUUCUUUCUUUCUUUCUUUCCUUCUUUCAUGCUUCACUGAACUGUUUUCCAGUUCAAGAUAGGUAGAUCUGCCAAAACUACAAAGUCUAUAUUGCAUAUAGAACAUGCCUGGAUUUACAGAGCAUGGAUGCAGGAACAUAUUUUUCCAUCAGCAGAGUCUGGGUCUUGGCUAACUUAAAGUUUUGUGACUGUUCUUGGGAUCAGCCCUGGGUGAAGCCUCUGUGAGGUCCAGCUGACUACUUCAUUCUCAUAAAUACUUCCUUUGAAAUCUC